GGAAGUUGACAUGUCAUCACUUCAUUUUUUUGCGCCUGCGCAUAAAUCUGAGAAACGUGAGUUUUGUCUUCAUUGUUUAUCUAGACAUAGGAUAGGUUGUGUGAAAAUAUUACUGAUGUUUAACGUUAAAAAUGGACCAAAAGAUUAAUGCUAAACAACAUUUGACAUGUUUGAACGAACAUAAAUAGAUUAUUUACUAGGUUUUUUUAGCUUUUCGGCGUGAUUUUACAGUCCCCCCACCACGUUUUGUGGGAGCAUAAUGAACGCUAAGUACUUGGUGUUAUUUGGACAUAAAUUAUGAACUUUGUCAAAAGAAACCACAUUUGUUCCGGACCUGGGAUGCCUUCCGGACCUGGGAUGCCUGCCUUCUGAUGGAGAUAAUCAAAGAGUUAUACAGGCAGCAGCUGAAGUAGGAUUAACCCAGUCUGGAGUGGAGGCAACAGCCAGCCAGCCCUGUCUGAGGUGGGAGAGGGGAGAGCAGCAGGGGAACAGCCAGCCAGCCAGCCAGCC
rnacentral:lncRNA from 1 species